UUCUGAUUGGCCCUCCUUUGGCAGGUUCAGACAGUGCCCGGUCAAGGAGGGGAGAAGAACCCGGAACCGGCUCCAUCUUAAGGGAAUACUUUUCAUCGGCUCUUCAUGGAGACUGUUCACGUGAAUGGAAUUCUGGAUGGAGGUUCUAUUACUAAACUAGAGCUAACUCUGACUGUUCCUGACUGUGUCUGCUGACUAAGGAGUGCCGCAUUGUCAUUAAGUGUUUGGCCUCACACUAGGAUCACUCAUUCGGAUGAAGGUGAUGAUUUUUUUUUUUUUUGGACACUGAGGGUAGCAGUGAGUCUUUUCCCAGCUUCACCCCAUUGAUAAAAGGCCUGUGAAGCUAAAUGAAACUAGAAGCUAUAACUGUUAUCCAGAGCUAGUGACACUGGACUUCUCUCCAGGGAACCAACUGCAUCUAUUUAAAAUAAACUUUCAGACAUGAAGUCCUUGCCCAUGCGUAUGUCCUGAAUGGGGGAGCCAAGAUGGCCGAAUAGGAACAGCUCCAGUCUACAGCUCCCAGCAUGAGUGACGCAGAAAACGGGUGAUUUCUGCAUUUCCAUCUGAGAUGGAAAGAUCUGACCCAUUCUUGGGAAGAAGUAAUGAGACCCACAUAAAAGAUGUUUAAACUUCAACCUAGAGGACAAUGCUGAGAGAGGCGAGGAAGCUGCAGAGAAGAGUCUGACACCAGCAGAGCUUGGUUCAUGAGGUUAAAGAAGAGAAGCCAUCUGUAUAACGUGCAUGCAAGGUGAAGCAGCAAGUGCCGAUGUAAAAGCUGCAGCAAGUUAUCCAGAAGAUUUAGCUGAGAUAGAAGCCCUAAUGUACAGUGUGAUGAUAUUUGAAGAUGGAGUUUUGGGGAAGUAAUGCUCAAGUGAGAUCAUGAAGGUGGAAUUCUCAAGAUGACAUUAGUGUUCUUACUAGAGGAGGAGAGACCAGAGCUCUCUCUUUCUCUACCAUGUGAAGAUACAGUGAGAAGGAGGUCAUCUUCAAGCCUGGAAGAGGACCCUCACCAGAAACGGAAUCUGCUGUCAUCAUUUUCUUGGACUUUGCAAACUCCAGAACUGUGAGAAAUAAAUGUUUAUGUCUUAAGCCACCCAGUUUAUGGUAUUUUGUUAUAGUAGCUCAAGCUGAUAUGCUACAAGUAAUUUUUCAAUUUCUUUUAUAAGAUAUCUAGACAUUCUUCUUUCCUAGCUUUCAUGCAUUAAAGUUGAGUUGUAUCAAUUAUUUUUCUACCUAUAUUAAAAUGUUAACAUAAUUUUUCUCUUUUUUAUGUUUUUUUAAUGGUUAAAUUAUACUGAUUGAUUUGGUUGUUAAAACAGCCUAGCAUUCCAAGUAUAAACCCACCUUGAUCAUGAUGUAUUGUUAUUUUUAAUAUAUUCUAAUAAGAGUUUGUUACAGUUUUUAAUUUUUAAAUUUUUAA